AGCCCCUUAGUAUAAUGGGAGUACGCUUCUCUUACACAGAAGUAGAGUCGGCUCGAAUCCGACAGGGGCUA
rnacentral:tRNA from 1 species